UUAGAGUUUGAUCCUGGCUCAGGAUGAACUCUAGCUACAGGCUUAACACAUGCAAGUCGAGGGGCAGCACUAGGUAGCGAUACUGAGGUGGCGACCGGCGCACGGGUGCGUAACGCGUAUCCAACCUUCCCGUUACUCUUGGAUAGCCUUCCGAAAGGGAGAUUAAUACAGGAUGGUAUUCAAAUUCCGCAUGUUAUUUGAAUUAAAGAUUUAUCGGUAACGGAUGGGGAUGCGUGACAUUAGAUAGUAGGCGGGGUAACGGCCCACCUAGUCUACGAUGUCUAGGGGUUCUGAGAGGAAGGUCCCCCACACUGGAACUGAGACACGGUCCAGACUCCUACGGGAGGCAGCAGUGAGGAAUAUUGGUCAAUGGUCGGAAGACUGAACCAGCCAAGUAGCGUGAAGGAAGAAGGUUCUAUGGAUUGUAAACUUCUUUUAUACGGGAAUAAAACACACCACGUGUGGUGUCUUGUAUGUACCGUAUGAAUAAGCAUCGGCUAACUCCGUGCCAGCAGCCGCGGUAAUACGGAGGAUGCGAGCGUUAUCCGGAUUUAUUGGGUUUAAAGGGAGCGUAGACGGGGGAUUAAGUCAGUUGUGAAAGGCUGCGGCUCAACCGCAGCACUGCAGUUGAUACUGGUUCCCUUGAGUGCGGUUGAGGUGUAUGGAAUUCGUGGUGUAGCGGUGAAAUGCUUAGAUAUCAAGAAGAAGACUCGUGGCGAAGGCGGGUUCCUGGACAUUAACUGACGCUGAGGUACGAAGGCCAGGGUAGCGAAAGGGAUUAGAUACCCCUGUAGUCCUGGCAGUAAACG
rnacentral:rRNA from 1 species